GAAAUGCGAUAAGUAAUGUGAAUUGCAGAAUUCCGUGAAUCAUCGAAUCUUUGAACGCACAUUGCGCCCUCUGGUAUUCCGGGGGGCAUGCCUGUCCGAGCGUCAUUGCAACCCUCAAGCACGGCUUGUGUGAUGGGUGAUCGUCCUGUCUUUGGAAGGACGCACCUGAAAAGCAGUGACGGCGUCGUGUUCCGGUGCCCGAGCGUAUGGGGCUUUGUCUUCCGCUCUUGUGGCCUGGCCGACUUGUCCAGUCUAUACCAACUUCUCGUGGUUGACCUCGGAUCAGGUAGGGUUACCCGCUGAACUUAA
rnacentral:misc_RNA from 1 species